rnacentral:lncRNA from 1 species
GCGUCAGCCCCGCCGCCCGCCUCGCGCCCGCGGGCCUCGCGCCCGUUGCCGUGGCGACCCCGCUGCGGGUGUAGCCCCCUUGAUGCCCCCCCCUGAGGCUGCACCAGCCCCCAGCGUGCACGUGGUAGUGGUGGUGGGCGGGGCCUGUGUCCUGCGCUACAGCCGCCCCCCUCCGCCCCCCCCCCCGCGCCGAGCCCCCCAACUGGGGGGGGGGGGAACUGGGGGGACCCCGGGGGGGGGCGGCGGGGCCGGGACCCCCCCCACGUCCGGAGGCGCGACGGGGACCUGGUCCUGCUGCUGCGGAGAGAGGGUCCUAGCGCCCCCCCGGAGCCUGUGGCCGUCACCAGCUUCGUGGGGCCUGAACCCUGUGACCUCUGGCCUGUGGCACCCCCAGUUGACAUCGACAUGGAGGUGGCCUGGCCACAGGUGAGUGACCAGCUCCUGGCCAUCAAUGGGGCCCCCACAGCCGGUAUGACCCAUGCCCAGGCCCUGGCCUGCAUCCGGGGGGGGGGGCAGCCCCCUGCGCCUGCUGCUGCGCCGGGGCCACGGGCCCCCCCCAAAUCCUCCCCCGAGGGGGGUCCUGACCCUCUGCAUCAGCAGCUCCCCCCGGGGCGAGCCGUGCUUCUGCCUCGUGGGACGCCGGGCCUCGGGGGGGGGCAACUGGGGGGGAAUGCACCCCUAAAUGCCCCCCCUUCCGUUAACACCCCCCCCGCACCCCCUUUAUCGGUGCUUGGGGGGGACCCCCCCCAUUUUUGGGGGGGGCCCCUACCCUUCAAUCUAUGCAAUGCCCUCCCCCCGCUCCCCGUUUUUGGGGGUGCUCAAUAAAGGUGAGGACCCC